AGGUAACCUACCUUUACGGAGAUGGAUCCUCUUGAAUCUGCUCUUCGACCCUAUAUAAACACCCGUGCAUGCUUGUUGUUCUUCGCAUUAGCAUCUGAGAUCUCUGCUUCAUACACAAGCACACACACGCACAAGUACACACAGAUCAAGCACACACAGAGAUCCAAAUGGAACGUUCAAUGCGUCUUGUUUCCGCCGCCUUGGUUCUUGCCCUGCUUUUGGUGGCUACCGGUAUAUCUUUAGUUCUCUCUUCUUCACUUUGUUUGAUGAUGAGUACAUUAAUUAAUUAUAUAGAUGAAUUAUAAUUAACUUACGGAUGCAUGCAUGCAUGCAUGCAUGGAUGUUACUUUGACAGAGAUAGGACCAAUGGCUGUCGAGGGAAGGAGCGCUAAGAAGGUUGAGCCAAAGAAGAGGACCUGCGAGAGUCAGAGCCAAAAAUUCAAGGGAAUUUGCUUCUUGGCGAGCAACUGUGCCACGAGUUGCACAACAGAGGGCUUCAAUGGAGGCCAAUGCCGUGGCUUCCGCCGUAGAUGCUUCUGCUCCAAAGCAUGUUAAUUGAUUAUAAUGGAUCUAUCUGUGUGGGAGAGAGCUGUGAGCGUGCUUGUGUAAUGGGAUCGAUUGAUUGACCCAGCUGUGUAUGCUGGGUUAAUUGCUUUUGCUAGGGUCAUUUAUUUUCUUGUUCCUUGUGUUGCGUGUUCAUCUCACUUUUAAAAAAAUAAAAAUAAAAAUAAACAUAAACAAUAAUCUAAAGUAUUUUAAAUUAAUUUAAUCUACGAGAAUUGAAACUUGAACUUAAGUGCAAAAGAACAGACUCAUUGCCCUACCUAAUCUAUGUAUGAGAAUUAUGAGUCAAAAAGAUAAAAAAUGAAAAUAAAAAGUUUUUUUUCUUUUCUUUUUCGGUUUACACGGGCUAAGCCCAAUAACAACAAAACGAGCGUAGCAAAAUUUUCGAGGCCUGGUGACACCAUGGAAAAUGAAAUUCCCUUGAAGCCCAUUAAGAAUACAGCCCGCCAGACUACAGAAGGGGAUAUCAAAAACCGCAAGCGGGAAUUCAAGCGGAUUCUCUUCUCCCCUGCAGUCGGCGCCGUUGGUGUUGUUUACUUUUGGGGAUGAAUCAGAAAUUCGGGGGAGGGAGGCUGCCCACCGGCACUCCUUCGUUGGCUUGGUCGUCCGUCGUUGUUGUCGUUUCGCUUCUCGUUGGGGCCUCCGUUGUCCACAAUCUCUACAAGCCAGAUCUCGUACGCGCGCUUUCUCUCUCUCUCUUUCUCUCUCUCUCGCGCGCGCGCGCACACACACACACACACUCUCGGAGUGUAAUACCUUCUUGUUGAUCAAUUACGAAAAAAAGAAUAUAUACUGUUUCGGUUCUGUAUUUGACCCCGACGUAUUGCACGCGAGGUGUUCGAUAAAAUGUUAGGCUUACCUGCUCUAUUAUUGUGUUUGUCAUUGAAUCAAAAUAAUAUUAGGCGCUUAUAAAUCUUGUGCAUUUUGUGCAGACGCUGCCUCCUGUGGAUGGUGUAAACGGGAGCAAGGAGGGGAAGCAACCCGAGAAAGAAUGAAAUGGAUCACUUCUUCCUCCUAGUUUUUCUGCUUUGCAAAAAUUCAAUUGCUUUUGCUUUUAAUCUUAAUGCACUUUAAUAUGUGAAUUAUGGUGUGAGUUAGCUAGCUAGAAGAGAAGGAGGAGCCGCCACUCCCAUGGCUUUCUUUCGUUGUUGCGUGUGAUUGAACUUUUCUUUUUAAUAAAUUGACUUUCUUCUGAUUCA
rnacentral:lncRNA from 1 species